GUUAAGCGACUAAGCGUACACGGUGGAUGCCCUGGCAGUCAGAGGCGAUGAAGGACGUGCUAAUCUGCGAUAAGCGUCGGUAAGGUGAUAUGAACCGUUAUAACCGGCGAUUUCCGAAUGGGGAAACCCAGUGUGUUUCGACACACUAUCAUUAACUGAAUCCAUAGGUUAAUGAGGCGAACCGGGGGAACUGAAACAUCUAAGUACCCCGAGGAAAAGAAAUCAACCGAGAUUCCCCCAGUAGCGGCGAGCGAACGGGGAGGAGCCCAGAGCCUGAAUCAGUGUGUGUGUUAGUGGAAGCGUCUGGAAAGGCGCGCGAUACAGGGUGACAGCCCCGUACACAAAAAUGCACAUGCUGUGAGCUCGAUGAGUAGGGCGGGACACGUGGUAUCCUGUCUGAAUAUGGGGGGACCAUCCUCCAAGGCUAAAUACUCCUGACUGACCGAUAGUGAACCAGUACCGUGAGGGAAAGGCGAAAAGAACCCCGGCGAGGGGAGUGAAAAAGAACCUGAAACCGUGUACGUACAAGCAGUGGGAGCACGCUUAGGCGUGUGACUGCGUACCUUUUGUAUAAUGGGUCAGCGACUUAUAUUCUGUAGCAAGGUUAACCGAAUAGGGGAGCCGAAGGGAAACCGAGUCUUAACUGGGCGUUAAGUUGCAGGGUAUAGACCCGAAACCCGGUGAUCUAGCCAUGGGCAGGUUGAAGGUUGGGUAACACUAACUGGAGGACCGAACCGACUAAUGUUGAAAAAUUAGCGGAUGACUUGUGGCUGGGGGUGAAAGGCCAAUCAAACCGGGAGAUAGCUGGUUCUCCCCGAAAGCUAUUUAGGUAGCGCCUCGUGAAUUCAUCUCCGGGGGUAGAGCACUGUUUCGGCAAGGGGGUCAUCCCGACUUACCAACCCGAUGCAAACUGCGAAUACCGGAGAAUGUUAUCACGGGAGACACACGGCGGGUGCUAACGUCCGUCGUGAAGAGGGAAACAACCCAGACCGCCAGCUAAGGUCCCAAAGUCAUGGUUAAGUGGGAAACGAUGUGGGAAGGCCCAGACAGCCAGGAUGUUGGCUUAGAAGCAGCCAUCAUUUAAAGAAAGCGUAAUAGCUCACUGGUCGAGUCGGCCUGCGCGGAAGAUGUAACGGGGCUAAACCAUGCACCGAAGCUGCGGCAGCGACGCUUAUGCGUUGUUGGGUAGGGGAGCGUUCUGUAAGCCUGUGAAGGUGUGCUGUGAGGCAUGCUGGAGGUAUCAGAAGUGCGAAUGCUGACAUAAGUAACGAUAAAGCGGGUGAAAAGCCCGCUCGCCGGAAGACCAAGGGUUCCUGUCCAACGUUAAUCGGGGCAGGGUGAGUCGACCCCUAAGGCGAGGCCGAAAGGCGUAGUCGAUGGGAAACAGGUUAAUAUUCCUGUACUUGGUGUUACUGCGAAGGGGGGACGGAGAAGGCUAUGUUGGCCGGGCGACGGUUGUCCCGGUUUAAGCGUGUAGGCUGGUUUUCCAGGCAAAUCCGGAAAAUCAAGGCUGAGGCGUGAUGACGAGGCACUACGGUGCUGAAGCAACAAAUGCCCUGCUUCCAGGAAAAGCCUCUAAGCAUCAGGUAACAUCAAAUCGUACCCCAAACCGACACAGGUGGUCAGGUAGAGAAUACCAAGGCGCUUGAGAGAACUCGGGUGAAGGAACUAGGCAAAAUGGUGCCGUAACUUCGGGAGAAGGCACGCUGAUAUGUAGGUGAAGCGACUUGCUCGUGGAGCUGAAAUCAGUCGAAGAUACCAGCUGGCUGCAACUGUUUAUUAAAAACACAGCACUGUGCAAACACGAAAGUGGACGUAUACGGUGUGACGCCUGCCCGGUGCCGGAAGGUUAAUUGAUGGGGUCAGCGCAAGCGAAGCUCUUGAUCGAAGCCCCGGUAAACGGCGGCCGUAACUAUAACGGUCCUAAGGUAGCGAAAUUCCUUGUCGGGUAAGUUCCGACCUGCACGAAUGGCGUAAUGAUGGCCAGGCUGUCUCCACCCGAGACUCAGUGAAAUUGAACUCGCUGUGAAGAUGCAGUGUACCCGCGGCAAGACGGAAAGACCCCGUGAACCUUUACUAUAGCUUGACACUGAACAUUGAGCCUUGAUGUGUAGGAUAGGUGGGAGGCUUUGAAGUGUGGACGCCAGUCUGCAUGGAGCCGACCUUGAAAUACCACCCUUUAAUGUUUGAUGUUCUAACGUUGACCCGUAAUCCGGGUUGCGGACAGUGUCUGGUGGGUAGUUUGACUGGGGCGGUCUCCUCCUAAAGAGUAACGGAGGAGCACGAAGGUUGGCUAAUCCUGGUCGGACAUCAGGAGGUUAGUGCAAUGGCAUAAGCCAGCUUGACUGCGAGCGUGACGGCGCGAGCAGGUGCGAAAGCAGGUCAUAGUGAUCCGGUGGUUCUGAAUGGAAGGGCCAUCGCUCAACGGAUAAAAGGUACUCCGGGGAUAACAGGCUGAUACCGCCCAAGAGUUCAUAUCGACGGCGGUGUUUGGCACCUCGAUGUCGGCUCAUCACAUCCUGGGGCUGAAGUAGGUCCCAAGGGUAUGGCUGUUCGCCAUUUAAAGUGGUACGCGAGCUGGGUUUAGAACGUCGUGAGACAGUUCGGUCCCUAUCUGCCGUGGGCGCUGGAGAACUGAGGGGGGCUGCUCCUAGUACGAGAGGACCGGAGUGGACGCAUCACUGGUGUUCGGGUUGUCAUGCCAAUGGCACUGCCCGGUAGCUAAAUGCGGAAGAGAUAAGUGCUGAAAGCAUCUAAGCACGAAACUUGCC
rnacentral:rRNA from 1 species